AUGAUGCCCACACCAGUUAUCCUGUUGAAAGAGGGUACUGAUAGCUUCCAGGGCAUCCCUCAGCUCGUGAGUAACAUCAGUGCCUGCCAAGUGGUUGCUGAGGCUGUAAGAACCACCCUGGGUCACUGUGGCAUGGACAAACUUAUUAUGGAUGGCCGAGGCAAAGCAACAAUUUCUAAUGAUGGGGCCACAAUUCUGAAACUCCUCGAGAUUGGUGAUCUGAGUCUGAAAUCCUCUUUUAGUUUGAAGUAAUUGCUGAACGGAUGAAGAAGCCAGCGAUAUGGGAUGAGUGGUAGGGGGGAUGGGGGGCAAGUAAGGAGGGGGGUGGUGUUUAAAGGGCUCGAUGGUAAGAUAGGCACCGGGCCCGGGAUCAUAGUGGUCUUGUUCAUAUUUAAAGGCUUCCUCAUCCAAUUCUCCCUCCGAGGCAGGAUCGAGGGGUUCAUCUGACAACUCCUUAUACAAAAUGGGGUAAAUCCUUUUUGGUCUAACGGGGGUCGAGCAGUAGCCCCUUUUCUAGAAUCUAAUGUAAUUUGGGGAGAAAGAGGGGAAGGCAGGGAGUCCUUAGGGACCGGGGCAUCGAUAAUCGAUGAUGGCCGAGACUGAUGAUUCGCCGGUGGCUUAGUUUCGCUUUUGCGAGACGGGGAUCGGGAGUUUUCUAAAAAAUCUUCAGUAAGGGCUAGGAGGCGAGCGCCUUCUCUGCCCUCUUCUGCCUGUUUAAGGAGAUCUCUGACGAUUCCCCAAUAGCUUAAAAAGGACUCAGGGACAUCUUCUCCUUGUUUUAUUAAAGCAUUGAUAUCUUUGCCUACUUUAUUCCAAGUUAAAGGGUGUAUUUCAGGACCAUUCAAUACCAGACAUGGACAUCUCUCAUCCACAAAACAAAAAAAAAUUUAUUAAAUCUUUUUUCUUAACUCUUAUUCCGCUCUCCUAAAGAGACCCCUUCAUCUCUUGACUAAAAACUGUCUCUUUGGACAGAACAUUCCCCAUGGUGAACGGGACAACAAUUUUAUGCCCAGGCUUACCUCUCGACGUCUGCGACACUCGAGCAAAGUGGCAGGGAACUGUGUCACUGUCUGCGCGGUACCUCUUGAAUCAGUUGUCCGGAGGGUGGUUGUACCUCGUGCCCCACGUCUGGUGCCACUUGACCCGUCCAGCAGGUCUAGUUAUUCGAGGGUCUCGAGGGGACCUUCUCCUAAGAACCAAAUGGGGGGGGGGGAGGGAGAGACGGACACCAAGUGGGAGGAACAACACAGAGACCAGUCUGAUUAGCAUCAAGGUGUCACUGUAUUAGCAAGGUUCAAGGCUUAAAUGCACAAGCAAAGGAGGAAGCACUUCUCAGCAGGAGGGAUGGGGCAGCGGAAAUUUUUCUUUUGGCGACUACACGGGGAAGCAGGAACUUGGUGGUGUCAGGGUGUGGUCAGGACAUCUGGCGCUGACUUAGGGCUGGAACAAUCUGUGGUUGUUCUUGGAGUGGUGUGUUGGUGGCCCGCUUUUGACCCCCUUUUCUUCUGGGGGGAGGGGAGGCCCAAUUCGGAGAUCAAGACAAUAGAGUUGUCUUAAUAGCUCCCAACAAGAGGUACAAUUUCUUCACUGGGUGACCUAGGGCCAAGACAUGUACCAUCAUUCUCUGUAGUGACACUGAGCAGUUUAUGGAGGAGACAGAGAGGUCCCUACACGAUGCCAUCAUGAUUGUGAGGAGGGCCAUCAAGAAUGACUCUGUGGUGGCUGGUGGUGGAGCCAUUGAGAUGGAGCUUUCCAAAUACCUGUGGGAUUACUCGAGGACCAUUCCUGGGAAACAGCAGCUGUUGAAUGGGGCAUAUGCCAAGGCCCUGGAGAUUAUUCCACGACAGCUAUGUGACAAUGCUGUUUGAUGCCACAAACAUCCUCAACAAGCUGUGGGCUCAACUCACACAGGGAGGUAUGUGGUAUGGGGUGGACAUCAACAAUGAGCACAUUGCCGGCAACUUCCAGGCAUUUGUAUGGGAGCCAGCCAUGGUGCGCAUCAAUGCUCUGACAGCAGCUUCUGAGGCUGCGUGCCUUAUUGUGUCCAUGGAUAAGUCUAUCAAGAACUCCCACUCCACUGUGGAUCCUUCAGCUCCAACAGCUGGCUGUGGCAGAGGCCAAGCCCACUUCCACUGA
rnacentral:lncRNA from 1 species